rnacentral:rRNA from 1 species
CAGCCGCCGCGGUAAAACGGAGGGUGCAAGCGUUAAUCGGAAUUACUGGGCGUAAAGCGCACGCAGGCGGUCUGACAAGUCAGAUGUGAAAUCCCCGGGCUUAACCUGGGAACUGCAUUUGAAACUGUCAGGCUGGAGUCUUGUAGAGGGGGGUGGAAUUCCAGGUGUAGCGGUGAAAUGCGUAGAGAUCUGGAGGAAUACCGGUGGCGAAGGCGGCCCCCUGGACAAAGACUGACGCUCAGGUGCGAAAGCGUGGGGAGCAAACAGGAUUAGAUACCCGAGUAGUCCCUGUCUCUUAUAC